ACUCAUCGAUCAAUCAUGGAACGUCUAAGUACUUCUACUCGACACUAGAUGGAAGUAGUACUCGGAAUCUAUGCAUUUUGAGAUUAUUCAAUUCUCUGCCAAAAGAUUAUUUCGUAUCGGACCUGUUAAAAACAAAAUGCAAUAUUAUUAUUAACUAUUUUUAAUACUAAAUUAAAUCGAUCGUGUAAACCCGCUUUUAAUCAUAAACAAUAUUUUCUAGAUGUCGGCCAUGUGCGACAAAAUUAAAAAUACGUCCUAGCAUCCCUGACAACAUACGAAACACUGCCUACAUGAUUUAAUCGGAUUGUAGCCGACUUAGUUAAAGUUCCCCAUAGAUGGCGUGUGUAACAAGAAAUAAAAGAAUACAAUGAAAUUUGGCCGUUUUAAGAUUUUAAUAUGCAUUUUAUGUUAAUAUGAUAGUAAGGAUGCUUUUAUCCAAUAAGUAAAUUAAAGUAAUUGAUUCAAUCACGCCAUACCAUAAACUAUUCUAGACUUACAACGAUAUUUUAAUCAUGGCAGCCCUAAGCUCUGACACUUUUUUAACUUCCGUUCAUUUAAGUUUUUUUAUUAGUAUUUCCUAUUAACAUCAUUCAUUUUCAUUGCCUAAAACUUGUUUAUAAUCUCAAAAUUAUUAAUUAAGGUCAUAAAUACCAAAGUUACCUCAACUAUCAGUGUCACAGUGAAUUAACACCUUAAUAAGCAAACAAGUGACAACCAUCCAAACGCCAUAUUGUAAUUCAUCAAGUUGUAUAAAAAAUUUUUGACAAAUAAUUACCAUGACGGAACUUUAAACUGAGCUGGAAGAGAUCGUCCUCAAGUGUGCUUUUAUGAUUCUCUAAAUAUCCCUACCCAUUGCCUAUCGCAAGAACUGCACAAAACAAACGAAAUAGAUUUUCGGAUUCAAACACGAUCAUGGUCUUCACUUUCAUCAAAAAUGUGUAAAUCUUCAAUGAACCUAAUGCCCUACGAUGACCUAUGACCUAAAGUUUGAACUGUAUAGAAACAAGGAUGUUUAAUUAAUGUGCCUAGUUCCUGUUCGAAUCGAUAUACCGAUCGAAAUGAGCUCAAAUAUGGAACCUGUUACUCCUAGCAAGCAACCUGACAACUCUAUUGGAAUAGUCCCUGUUGCCUGUCAUACAUGAACUGUUUACAAUGAAAAUGUAUUGAAGUUAUGCUGAAGAACCCCGCUUGCUGGAUUUGAUGAAUCUUUUCACAACCUUUAAGACAAACAGAGACAAGUCUGAUGGCUGCCUAUAUAUACCCAUACCUAGUGAUUGGUGAUGUUUAAGCCGAGCGGAGCAAAUUUCCGUUUGCUGUUUUCAUGGACUUUUCCGAGUCUCUCGAUAAUCUCAACAAACAGAAUGGUUUCCUGAUACCUGACCGUUAGGUCAUCUAGCAGUCAGUUAAACUUAAGCCGAGUGAAGGAAAUCUCGAUGGUUACUUUCAUGAUUCCUGUUUCUCCAUGUCUUACUACAAUUUUCAAUGUUCCCGCAGAGUCAUUACGUCUAGCCUCAAAAUACACACUAUGGAAUGCUUCUAUUUCUGAAAGAUUACGAAGGACCGCACUACUCCAGACUCCUGUUCAAUAAUUUUAUUUCACAACUUUUGCUGUAACAAUGGCUGCUGUCUACUGCCACUUCAAAGUUCCUGUUCCACGGCUCUAUUUCUAGACACCUGCAUCCACAUCAGCAAUGGUCUACAUUGAAUACUACUUAGAGGGAAAAUGACACUCAAGAUCUUCUUUUAUGUUAGGUAUCAAGGCGCAAGAAGAUGGAAUUAUAAUUGAUUAUUUUGAGAUGACACGUCUCAAAUAUGAAAUGAAUCCCCUAACAACGGCGAGAAGAAAACGAGUAAAGAAGACUGAUAAACUUUAAAUAGAAAAUAACUAUAAGGAUUUUUUUAUUAAGUAGACAAUAACUCUAAGGGUUUUUUUUUUGUACAUAAUAACAGUUUGAAAAAUAAACGUUUUUAUUUUUCAAACUAACUAAACAAAUAAACGAUUUUAUGACUUUUAUUUAAAACACAAUAAAAACAGAGUCCAAAAUUCAGUGUACCCACUCCGCUCUCACGGCAACAAAAUGUAGCCUGAAUGGCUACUUUUACAUAGAUAUCUCUUGAAAACCCAUAGUAACCCAGGUAAAAUAGAUCCUGGUCACGGCACCAAAAUGUAACCUCCCCCACCUACUCCCCCAAUCUACCCCACCUUUAUAAUUGAUACCACCCUUAAAUUCUACCCUCAUAAUUUUACCCCAACAAUAAUUUGGCCAAGUGAUCGUCUAGUUAAAGGUUAGGACCCCUCGAAGUGAACCGCGGAACCCUAGAUUCUUUAAUGAGUAACAACUAAAUCUUGGACUUUGAUUUUACCUAAUUGUUUAUUACCUAGAUGUUAAAGAUCUGAUAUUUACUGUACUAUAAUAAUAUAUCUAUUAUGUUGAUGAGAAAUUAUUUAAAGGAUAUUAUGUUAAGAUUCCACCUCCUGUGAAACACCGUAAAACAAAGAUAUUCUGAACCAUUUUUAUAUUAAACAUGACUCCUUAUGAGUAAAAAGGUAAUAUAGGUAUAAUAAACUAAAAGUUAAUAGCAAUGUCCCGGUUAAGGGUAUAGGCUCCGCCCAUACGCGCGAGUCGUUGGCGUCGGGUGUAGCCUUA